rnacentral:rRNA from 1 species
CCUACGGGAGGCAGCAGUGAGGAAUAUUGGUCAAUGGUCGGGAGACUGAACCAGCCAAGCCGCGUGAGGGAUGAAGGUACAGAGUAUUGUAAACCUCUUUUGUCAGGGAACAAAGGCGGGGACGUGUCCCCGGAUGAGUGUACCUGAAGAAAAAGCAUCGGCUAACUCCGUGCCAGCAGCCGCGGUAAUACGGAGGAUGCGAGCGUUAUCCGGAUUUAUUGGGUUUAAAGGGUGCGCAGGCGGUCUGUUAAGUCAGCGGUCAAAGCCCGGGGCUCAACCCCGGCCCGCCGUUGAAACUGGCAGUCUCGAGUUGGAGAGAAGUAUGCGGAAUGCGCGGUGUAGCGGUGAAAUGCAUAGAUAUCGCGCAGAACUCCGAUUGCGAAGGCAGCAUGCCGGCUCCACACUGACGCUGAGGCGCGAAAGCGUGGGUAUCGAACAGGAUUAGAUACCCUAGUAGUC